GAUCGCUCGUCGCCAGGGACUGCUGAUGCAUUGUCGAUGUGAGUUCGAGACGCAGACGGCUGUUCAGGCCACGGAGUUGUUUGACGCGAGGCAGGAGCCAGUGUUUUGUCAGCCCCUCCGUCGCGGGGAUCNNNNNNNNNNNNACCCGCGAACGCAGCUCGCGAUUAAACAAGUCGAACGCGGACAGAAUAUCCCCAGCCGAGCGCCGGAGAUCUUCGCCUUCCGGCGUGAGUUUUACUCCCGACGACGCCCGAAAGAACAGCGGCGCUCCGACGUACCGCUCAAGCUCCUUUAA
rnacentral:misc_RNA from 1 species